rnacentral:lncRNA from 1 species
AGGUUUUGGGGAUAAGAUUUCAAAUUUUGAAAAAUAAAAAAAUUAAAACUUUCAAAAGAUAAAAUGCUAUUUUGUUCAUUUUAGUUUUUGAAUGCUAUUUUUGUGAUAUAAAUUUAGAAAUGUGCUAUUUUGGAGAUUUGCCCUUUUUUAUAUGGUAAUUUUGGGGUGUACCACUCACCACAUCAACAUAUGCCGUUUUGGUUUGUAUGCAAAACUUUACCAUAUUCCUUCUCCUUUUUCAAUUCGUUUUAACUUUGUUCCUUAAUUAGCAUGUGAAUCUUAUAUAGUAUUCUUAUGAUCCAAAUACUUUAACCUUCAAACUACAUUUUG